AAGCACCGGCUAACUCCGUGCCAGCAGCCGCGGUAAUACGGAGGGUGCAAGCGUUAAUCGGAAUUACUGGGCGUAAAGCGUGCGUAGGCGGUUUAUUAAGUCAGAUGUGAAAGCCCACGGCUUAACCUGGGAACUGCAUUUGAAACUGGUCAACUAGAGUAUGGUAGAGGAAAGUGGAAUUUCUGGUGUAGCGGUGAAAUGCGUAGAUAUCAGAAGGAACAUCAAUGGCGAAGGCAGCUUUCUGGACUAAUACUGACACUGAGGUACGAAAGCGUGGGU
rnacentral:rRNA from 1 species